GUCCUUACCCUCCCUGCUCUUCCCGCAAACAGCCCGCAUUGUCCGGACCGCAGCCCCGACCCGCAUCCAGGCACGGCCGUGCCUGCCAGACCCACACCCCCCCACCCCCCGGCAUCCCUCGGCCCACCGCCUCUCCCCGCAGCGUCGCAGGCGGCGCCGGGCCGGGCCGGGCCGGGCCGGGCCGUGGGGCCAGCGCUAGACCGACACCCCCUCACCCCCCUGCAUCCCUCGGCCCACCGUCUCCCCCACCGCCUCUCCCCGCAGCGUCGCAGGCGCCGCCGGGCCGGGCCGGGCCGUGGGGCCAGCGAUCCCCUCGCCCCGCCGCGGGCUGCCCGGGCGCAGGCUUCCCUCCCUACCCCGCUCCCCCCACGGCCCAGCCCGGCCGAAGCCAGCCGCGGCGGGCGCAGAGGGGCCGACGGCCACCAUCCCCCCCGCGGCAAGGCCCCGGCCCAGUCCCGGGGGUGGCGUAAGAUCCGAGGCUGCUCCCGCAGCGGGGGACCCCGGCUGCACCCUGCCCUGACCUGCCCCUUCCCCUUCCCCCCAACAACGCCGCGGAGGGACCGGCUCGGCGGCGAACUUCCCUACCCAGAAGCUCUCCACGAAGUACGCCAUCAUCGCGCCGGGUCACUCGGUGAGUCCGAGCCCGGCCCCGGCCGCCUCAGCCGCCGAAGGAAAGGGGCGCCUCCGCGGCGCGCCGCCCUUCCCGUUACGGUGCAACCGCCUCCCUCCGCACGGCUCCGCCACCGCCCCCCCUCCACCCCGCAUGCGCACCGCCGCCGCCGGCCGCCUCCGCCCCCGCGCAGGCGCCUGGCCUCCCCGCGCAGGCGCGGAGAGAGGGGUAGCCUCCCCUUCUCCCCCUCCCUUCCCGAUGGCGGCUGGGCCUCGGUGGCGGCCUGUUACCCGCACCCAGGCGGCCGGUGCUACCCCGCACCCGGGCGGGCGGGCGGAGAGCCGGGCGCGGUGCUUCUGCCCUCAGCAGGGCCGCGAUCCGGCAGCUCAGACCCAGGGCCGCCUGCUGAGGGGAGAAACUCCGUUCUGUGGGGGACACGAACAAUAAUGGCUGAGCGCAGGCUCGGAAACACGGAGUGA
rnacentral:lncRNA from 1 species